rnacentral:lncRNA from 1 species
GUGAUGCAGCACAGACGGGGGAGCUGGGAGAUGGAGACAGUGCCUGGAAACAUGAAGGUAGGAGCGUGUGAAGACUUUGAAGGAAGCUGCACUCUGUUCCCACCUUUUCAGCUACUCCAGGACGGGGAUUUAAUUGGAAGUGGAGUUCUCAUUCUGCAGAAAUGACUCAUUCUGUACAGCACUGGACUUGGACCACAUUGAAGGGAAAGGCUCAGGAGCAGCAGCAGAUGCAGGACCAUUAAUAAAUUGCUAAUCUGUCCUCA